GCGGAUGUAGCUCAGUGGUAGAGCAUUACUUUGCCAAGGUAAAAGUCGUGGGUUCAAUUCCCAUCAUCCGCUCCG
rnacentral:tRNA from 1 species